rnacentral:rRNA from 1 species
GCAAGAUUAAAGGCGGCUUCGGCUGUCGCUUUGGGAUGGGCUCGCGGCCUAUCAGCUAGUUGGUGAGGUAAAAGCUCACAAAGGCGAUGACGGGUAGCUGGUCUGAGAGGACGACCAGUCACACUGGAACUGAGACACGGUCCAGAUACCUACGGGUGGCAGCAGUCGAGAAUCAUUCGCAAUGGACGAAAGUCUGACGGUGCGACGCCGCGUGGAGGAUGAAGGCCCUAGGGUCGUAAACUCCUGUCAUCAGGGAGUAAUGACUUACGCAGUAACUGGCGUAGGUAGUGAUAGUACCUGAAGAGGAAGGGACGGCAAACUUCGUGCCAGCAGCCGCGGUAAUACGAAGGUCCCAAGCGUUGUUCGGAUUUACUGGGCGUAAAGCGUCUGUAGGCGGGAUGGUAAGUCAGAUGUGAAAUCCCGGGGCUCAACCCCGGAACUGCAUCCGAUACUGCCAACCUAGAGGGUCGGAGGGGAGUCUGGAAUUCUCGGUGUAGCAGUGAAAUGCGUAGAUAUCGAGAGGAACACUCGUGGCGAAGGCGAGACUCUGGACGACACCUGACGCUGAGAGACGAAGGCCAGGGGAGCGAAAAGGAUUAGAUACCCUUGUAGUCCUGGCAGUAAACGGUGCACGCUUGGUGUGGGGAGGUUCGACCCUUUCCGUGCCGGAGCUAACGCGUUAAGCGUGCCGCCUGGGGAGUACGGUCGCAAGAUUAAAACUCAAAGAAAUUGACGGGGACCCGCACAAGCGGUGGAGCAUGUGGCUUAAUUCGAUGCAACGCGAAGAACCUUACCUGGGCUUGACAUGUUAGUCGUAGAUUUGUGAAAGCUUAUCGUCACUUCGGGUGGACUAUCACAGGUGCUGCAUGGCUGUCGUCAGCUCGUGUCGUGAGAUGUUGGGUUAAGUCCCGUAACGAGCGCAACCCCUAUGAACUGUUGCCAGCGGAUAAUGCCGGGGACUCUGUUCAGACUGCCCAGAUUAACUGGGAGGAAGGAGGGGAUGACGUCAAGUCAGUAUGGCCCUUACGCCCAGGGCUGCACACGUGCUACAAUGUCCAGUACAAUGUGAACCGAUACCGUGAGGUGGAGGAAAUCCUGAAAACUGGGCUCAGUUCGGAUUGUAGGCUGCAACUCGCCUACAUGAAGUUGGAAUCGCUAGUAAUGGCUCAUCAGCUACGGAGCCGUGAAUACGUUCCCGGGUCUUGUACACAC